UAUUAUAGUUCGAUCCAAUGCGCGCUACUCGUCGCCGGCUUCUGGCGACGGUUGUGGGUACGCGCGCGGAUCGGUUUUGGUCGGCCGUUGUCGCCUCUUGUACGGCGCCCGACUCGAGUUCUUAAUCGACUCGCGCUUCGCUUCAAACGGAGUCGAAUGUUAACGUCCGAACGUCCAUAUUCGGAUCGUAGCGAGUGCGCGCGCGUCCCGUACCGGACGGAGUUCGCACGUAACGGCGUAGUUACGAGCAAUUGCCUACUCCGCGUCCGCGUACGUUUCGCGCUCUCGCCAAACAACUCAACACUAUAACCUCGACUCGAGCACGAUUACCCGCUGAAUUUAAGCAUAUUAUUAGGCGGAGGAAAAGAAACUAACAAGGAUUUCCAUAGUAACGGCGAGUGAACUGGAA
rnacentral:misc_RNA from 1 species